rnacentral:ncRNA from 1 species
GGGUGCGGGAAGUGAUUUCCCGCAGGAGCAUCGGACGGUCGGGCCGCCGUUCG